rnacentral:lncRNA from 1 species
CCGAACCUGCCGCCGAAAGUGCCCUGUCCAGCUUUCUUUUGCAUGUUUUAUGUGAUGGUUUGAGGAUUGUUUAGAGGGGUUUUGGGGAGUUUCUUAGAGAUGUUCUUGAGUGAGUUUAGUCCCUCAUUUGAGUCCACCUGUGUAGGUACGGACCAGAGGAAUCAGGGACAUCAGCAGUGAGUCCAGUGUCAGAACCUGCAGAGUCAGUUCAGAGAUAAC